ACAUUUUGUAAUAUUUUAAUACCCCUGCUCCCUGGAUGGACAGACAGCAGAGCUCUCACCACGCUGUUGCUAUUGCUAGCACUUUUCAAACCCUGUCAACACAGGCAAAACUCCAUUUUCCAUUUAACUGCUACCAUGCUCUGAGGUCCUCCCUAUCUAUUGAUCCUUACCACUGACAUGGUUUUCUGACAAUAUCAAAAUUUUGCAUAUAAUAAAACGAGAUAAAAUAGUGAAAGUUCCUAUGACUGGUAUAUCUCACUUUAGGCUACUUUUGGUGAAAGCCUGAGUAGUCAAAGCAAAAAAGGAAAUAUUCUCUUACAGUUUGUCUAUUGGUUAUCUCCAUGAAUCAAGUUUAUGUAGAAAAAAUGUCUAGUGCAACCUGUCUGCCCUAAGGCUUACUGAAUAUACUACUCAGUACUUUACUGUUAUAUUAAAACAGAAGUGCAAGAGUUCUUGUUAACUGUGAUCUCUUCUUCAGCAUUGCACUUUCCAUGUACUUUCUAAAUCCAGUCAAUGUUACAGUUUAUUCUUCUAAAAUUUUAAAUUAACUUUUUAACAUUUUUUUAUCCAAAAUAAAGGCAUUCAGAAUUUUUUUCUCUCUCUCUUGAUUCUUUAUAAUGUUUACGACGAUAAUUAAUCAGUUUUUAUGGACCUUUCUUAUUUCAAAAACUUUCUCUCAAGGUACUGUUGAACAAAUACUUAAUAACAGUUCAGUUAUCUACAGUUAAGCAUGUUCUGAUAACAUUUGUCUACUCAGGCAUGAAAAAAAAUAAGGUCCCAAUUUGUAACAUUCAAGACCCCAGCAAUUAGUUUAUUUUGUGUUAAUUCCUGAUCAGUGUGGGAUCUUCCCUGUUUCAUUUGUAAAGUGGUUUUGUUCCCCAAGCUAGCACUGACACCACUCACUCUGCUUUUCCCCCUGGUCUUUUUUCAGAGCUGCUGAUGGCAUGGUGGCAGUCAUUUCUGCCAUGAUUGGAUUAAAUUCAUUUCAGUGUGGACCACUGAUGUACACACUUAAAUUCAAAAAAACAGUUAGGUAUAGCUAUGAAAGACUCUUGAAAGAAAUGUUGAAUUUCAUAUAUGGUGUGCAUAUGCUUACUUAAAAAUUUGCUAAUUACAGUCACUUAAAAUAUUACCAGUUUCAGUCAACUUUAUACAUCUUUUAUAACAUAUUGGAUGAUGAUUUUAUUUGCAUGCAUCCUCUGACAAUCUUUAUUCUUCUUAUUUCAACACUGAUUUGUCCUGAUGAUUCAGGACUAUUUUAGAGUAACAGUGAGAUUCUUUAAUCUUAUGUUAAGAUUUCCUUUUAUUAACCUCCACUAGUCCUCAAUUGAGAAGUUCAGCCUAUGUAUGUAUGGUACACUACUGCUGAAAGUCGAAAGACUACUUAUGCUUGUAUUAAAAUGAUUUUAAGUGUA
ensembl:lncRNA